UACGAAGGGGCUAGCGUUGUUCGGAUUUACUGGGCGUAAAGCGCACGUAGGCGGAUCGUUAAGUCGGGGGUGAAAUCCUGGAGCUCAACUCCCAGAACUGCCUUCGAUACUGGCGAUCUGAGUCCGGAAGAGGGUGGCGGAAUUCCCAGUGUAGAGGUGAAAUCGUAGAUAUUGGGAAGAACACCGGUGGCGAAGGCGGCGACCUGGUC
rnacentral:rRNA from 1 species